rnacentral:rRNA from 1 species
GUGACAGCAGCCGCGGUAAUACGUAGGUGGCAAGCGUUGUCCGGAUUUACUGGGCGUAAAGAGCGCGCAGGCGGUCGAGUAAGUCGAAUGUGAAAGCCCCCGGCUCAACUGGGGAUCGUCAUUCGAUACUGUUCGACUUGAAGAUGGGAGAGGGAAGCGGAAUUUCAGGUGUAGUGGUGAAAUGCGUAGAUAUCUGAAGGAACACCAGUGGCGAAGGCGGCUUUCUGGCCCACUCUUGACGCUGAGGCGCGAAAGCUAGGGGAGCGAACGGGAUUAGAAACCCCCGUAGUCC